rnacentral:rRNA from 1 species
AUUAACGCGAAGAACCUUACCAAGGCUUGACAUAUACCGGAAAGCAUUAGAGAUAGUGCCCCCCUUGUGGUCGGUAUACAGGUGGUGCAUGGCUGUCGUCAGCUCGUGUCGUGAGAUGUUGGGUUAAGUCCCGCAACGAGCGCAACCCUUGUCCUGUGUUGCCAGCAUGCCCUUCGGGGUGAUGGGGACUCACAGGAGACCGCCGGGGUCAACUCGGAGGAAGGUGGGGACGACGUCAAGUCAUCAUGCCCCUUAUGUCUUGGGCUGCACACGUGCUACAAUGGCCGGUACAAAGAGCUGCGAUACCGUGAGGUGGAGCGAAUCUCAAAAAGCCGGUCUCAGUUCGGAUUGGGGUCUGCAACUCGACCCCAUGAAGUCGGAGUCGCUAGUAAUCGCAGAUCAGCGUUGCUGCGGUGAAUACGUUCCCGGGCCUUGUACACACCGAAU